UAUUUACUUGACCACGGUGGCAUACACCUGGUUAGCUUAUUAGAGCUAGUGACAUAGUGUAACAAAUUGAUUUUGCAAACUCUUUUGAUCUACUUCUAAGUAAAUUACCGGGGGUCAGAGCUAGCAGAACCUAUCCCUCAUGUGCAGGUUUUACCUACUUUCAAAAUUCAAGCACUUGCUUACAAUUAUGGGGUUAAUUUAUUUGGAAAUCUGAGUAGCAAUAUGACUACAGUCAAUUGCAGUGGCAGGGUGUUGAAAAUAAAUAGUAAUGAAUUUUGUUCUUAUUUUAGAGUGAGAAUUCAAAGUAAGCCAUUCUAUUGGCAUCUCUGCUGCAAUUAGUUCAAUGCAUGGCAACAAUAAGUUUGGUCAGUUGUGUGAAUAGUGUACGCAAUUGAGAGUCAUGUUCUUGCUCAAGUUAAGAAUUUUUUGUGCAUAGUUUUGGCAUUAAGGAAGCUACUCAACUCUGAUAGUAAUGCUGUUGAAGGAUCCUCACUAAUUAUAACUAUUUGCAUGUAUAUAUAUUUUAUAGGACAUGGGAUGGACGUUGCACAUUAAUAGCAGGAAAGUUAGAACUUUUUUUGUGUUAUGGGUUCUAUAAAUGUGUAAGGAAGCUCCAGGAUCUUUGUGUGUGGUGUGAUGUUAGGUUUUUAUAUGGGUCAUAUUGCUUAAUUUAUUAUCAUACAACUCUCUGUUUUGAUGUUAUGCUUUUGUAAUCAUACUUCUAAAUGCAAAUGUUAAUUAUAAUUG